rnacentral:rRNA from 1 species
UACGUAGGGGGCAAGCGUUUGUCCGGAUUUAUUGGGCGUAAAGAGCGUGUAGGCGGCUUGGUAGGUCCGCUGUGAAAACUCGAGGCUCAACCUCGAGAUGUCGGCGGAAACCACUUGGCUAGAGUCCGGAAGAGGAGAGUGGAAUUCCUGGUGUAGCGGUGAAAUGCGCAGAUAUCAGGAGGAACACCGGUGGCGAAGGCGGAUCUCUGGGCCUUACCUGACGCUGAGGAGCGAAAGCAUGGGGAGCAAACAGG